UCUGUCCUUCCGUCCGUUCGUCCUGCUUCAGGUUAAAGUUUUUGGUCAAAGUAGUUUUUGAUGAAGUUGAAGUCCAAUCAACUUGAAACUCAUAAAAUUGAGAAUGGAAAUGGGGAAUGUGCCAAAGAGACAACAACCGGACCAUAGAGCAGACGGCAGAAGGUCACCAACAGGUCUUCAAUGCAACGAGAAAUUCUCGCACCCGGAGGCGUCCUUCAGCUGGCCCCUAAACAAAUAUAUACUGGUUCAGUGAUAAUGAACACCAUACUAAACUCCAAAUUGUACACAAGAAACUAAAAGUUAAAAUAAUACAAGACUAAAAAAGGCCAGAGGCUCCUGACUUGG
rnacentral:lncRNA from 1 species